UACGUAGGUGGCAAGCGUUAUCCGGAAUUAUUGGGCGUAAAAGAGCGCGCAGGUGGUUGAUUAAGUCUGAUGUGAAAGCCCACGGCUUAACCGUGGAGGGUCAUUGGAAACUGGUCGACUUGAGUGCAGAAGAGGGAAGUGGAAUUCCAUGUGUAGCGGUGAAAUGCGUAGAGAUAUGGAGGAACACCAGUGGCGAAGGCGGCUCUCUGGACUGUAACUGACACUGAGGCACGAAAGCGUGGGGAGCAAACAGGAUUAGAUA
rnacentral:rRNA from 1 species